AUGAAAUAUACAGAAAGCAUUUCUUGGGGCAAGAGGAUGAGGAGAUUCUGCAGAAGUUCAGUACAAGCAGAGCCAGCGUUGAUCCUGACAGGAUUUGGUGCUGGGAAAAAAAACUUCAUCUGUAUGCCAAAAUGUCCGGGAAAGACUUUUGUUUUACUUCCAACUAUUUUUGAGCAGACCAUGGAAUAUAUUGAUGACACUUUAAUAUUUGGAAAGACCAUGAUUAGUACAUUCAUUGAGGUGAGUGUUUUAUGCUGUACCCAAGAAGGUGAUUUGUGAUAUCACUUCUUUCUUAAUGACUCUGAACUUGGGAGUGUGGGAGGUGUCUCUGUGAUUUUUGUUAUUGCUCUUUUGUGUACUUCCUUUGAAAUGCAGUGUCAGAAUGCCCAAAAAUAGAGAUCUUCAGGGCUUUAAGUUUCCAAAGACAUGUUGCACAAAUCAUGAAGUAUAUCCUAUGGCUUCUCUAAAUCUUUAUGAAACUGGAAUUUAGUGUAGUGUCAGUAUCAAGUGCUGCAUCUGCGCUGUUUCCUGUGCAGGUGUUUAUUAAUAACUUCCAUCUUUUUGAUUGCUUUUGCAGGUGUUAAAGAACUUUCAAUUAUGAGGAAAAUUUCGGGGUCCAGAAAACCAAGUGCCUACUGUUACUUAGAUAAUCAGGAUGAUAGCUCAGGAAGAAAAGGGAAAAUAUUAUGCUUCUAACCUGAAUUUAAAAAAGUCAGUCGUAACUUAGAACAGUAUUAUUUGGUUGGUUCUGCUUUGCUUUGAAAAUUAAGGAAAGUUGAUUGUUACUGGAGCCAAAAAGGGAAGCAUAAUUAAAGGAGAAUGGUGUAGAAAUGUAAUCUGUGAUGGAAGAAAAUUUGUAAUGUGCUUUCAUUAAUUGUGAUCUAAUGAUGCCACAGGAGUGGUCCUAGAUAGGAAAGACAGCUGAUCUGGAUAAUACUGUAAUAUUGCAAUACAGAUUGAAUUGUAACUGAGAUUCUGAGCAUUAACACUCUCUGUUCAGUCUAAAUGAUUGAGAAAAAAACCCAAACAAUUCUGUUGUUCUAUGGAAAAUGUGAUCUGAAUAGGUUCUAAAAGCUGACUCUUUUUAAUGCUGCAGGUGUGACUUCAGUUUUCUGCAGAAAGUGAACCUGGUUCAACUUGGUUUGCCUCCCGUAUCACAGGUGUGUUCCUACAGCAGGGUUUUCACUUCUUCAUAAUAUUUGAAGUCUUCUGUGCUUAGAAUAGAGAUAUGUCAGUAUGGAAGGAAAUGAGGAAAUGUCACAAGUUCUGUCUUCUUUGUGAACUGAACAAAUUAGACUUCCUUCUGUGGAAAACCCUUUGCUGGAGAUGCCAUCUGUAGAUGAACUCUUUUAGUGUUUUGGGACUUGGGCAUACUCGAUCACCUGUAUAUUUCCUCUGAAAAAUAAUAGAAAACAGGUAAAACUGGCUGCCUCUAAUUCUGUUCGGACUGUUUAAAUACAAGUCACUCAAACCAAGCAUUUUGUUUCAGAUAAAAAUCCUGUUGGUGUAGAUUUGUCUUACUUUACAUUAAACUGUAGAAAGACUUAUCAUGAGAAUUUUUAGUAGCUUACAAGGACUAUUCUUUCUUAAUGUUUUAAUGUCUUCUUAAAUAUGUUAAAUACAUGAAACCAAUAUGAUACACAAUUAAAGUGGUACAUGCUGCCGCUGUAAGUAUAUCUUCAAACUUAGACUUCUGAAUACCUUUUUAACUUUUUUUUUUUAAUUGAAAUUUUACAGGGAGUUGAGUUAGUGUAAAGGAAUUGCAAGAGCUGUCUUUAAACAAGGAUUUAACUGUUGCUGAAAGACAUUCCACGUUUCCAGUGUUCAGGCUAAAAACUGUGAAAUCUGCACGUAGUUCUGGCUACAGCAAUUUCUAACACUUCUUGUGAUCAGAGAUAAAACCUGUAAUUUAAAUACUGUAUUAUCAGUUUAUAAAAACAGAAGCAAAACAUUUAAAGAACCAGUGCUUACAGAUUUAUAUCGUAAUUUGAGUAUUUUAGAACUUGUAUUGGCUUCGUGAUGUCAUGCAGGAUGGAAUGUUGUGAAUAAAUUCUUCCUUUAGUCUGGCCA
ensembl:lncRNA